GUAAAAUUAAUUGAAAUAUUGCUUGCACAGGGCUAAAUUUUGCAUAUUUUUGGGGAUGGGGGUGACCUGUAAUGAAUGGUUAUUUCUCUACAUUUUCUCAAUAUUUUGCACCAAAACAAAGCAGAAUCAUUGUGAAAUAGGUGUACCUUGAGAAUGAAUGCAAAUUCAUGGAAAAAUCAGACAAAAAUUUUCUCUUAUAGGCUGAUCACUACCAAAUAGAAUGUAAGCCUCCGCAGGUCUAGUCACAAGUAGUCCAAAUAUAAAUAGUACUAAUCUUUUUUCCUUUCCUAGUGCAUUUUCUCGGCAGCAAUGUGCUUACUUUUACCCUACCGCGUUUCAGUAUGUAUCACUUUGCAUUGUAAUGAAAUCGGCAUGUUCCUAUCGCAUGCUAGAUAAAAAUGGCGGCGUAAGAAUUUAAUGUCACGAAAAGAGAAAUUGAAAGAAGCGAAAAGUAGUAAAUUCAGCGGGUUGUAUUUAACAAACUGUAGUUUUCUUAUAUAAAAGUUAACACCCCCUUUUCUUUUUGUUUUUCUAAAGUAGCGAUCUAGCUCUUUAUGGGAAUAUAAGUCUCUGAAAAUCUGAUAUGCUAGAAAAUGUCGAAACACCGUUAUGAAGUGAGUGGAUUUUAUAUGAAAUAAAGAACAGCUGGAUUUAGUGGUGUUCAGCCUCAACAAAUUAUAAGUUUACGGGUACCACGAGGAUUUUUCAUGCAUUUAAACGACAGAAGUACAAGCAAACAGAUGACACAUAGUGGCUGCAGAAGCUUUAAAAGUUAGAUAGAGCUGGGGCAGUCAAAACACUUGGAUAAUACUUCUAUGGUGUCCAACAUGUCCAGUGAGGUUGACAGAAGUGAAAGAUGGUCUGAUGGUACAAUGAUGUGCAGAUGAUACUCUUUAACAAGUUUAACAUGUCAAAGUGUAAAAUGUUCUAUGGAUUCAUAUGAUGAUAAUGCCAGUGUUGAUGUGUAUGACUUAUUUAAACACAGAUAUUGAUACCUUCAGAUAUGUACCUGUGAAAUCUUCAGUGUAACCGUUCAGCUGUCGUUCAAGAUCAGUGUCUGCAGCUUGCACAGUUUAGUAUAGAGGAGCCUACUGAAUCAAUUUUGUUACAUAUUUGCUCUUAUUAUAGGACACACAUGUAGAGAGCAGCAAGUCCUGUAAAUGUGAUUCAGAAACUCUGAGAAUGUGUAGACAUUACACUGAUAUAAUUUUCAAAAUACUGUGUCGUGCAGUGUAUCAGUACUUUUUUGUCUCAGUUUAGCUCAGUAUGUUCACAAAUCAAACUUAAGAUCAUAAUGAUCAGUAUUAUUAAAAUCAUUAAUUAUUUGUAUGGUGACAAAAUUUAAUUUCAUGAAAUACCACAGUAAAACGUUUGAUAAUUUCCGCUUUUAAAGUUGUGAGUUUAAAGUUGGCAUAAAUUGUUUUUCUCCUUCAUCAAUCUAAAAAGUGAUUGGUCAUUGUAAUUGCAAUAUCAUUUUAGUAUGACAAAGUUUAUAUUGAACUAAAACACUAAUGUAAAUUUUUGAACUGGUCAAUGCAUUUUCUUCAGUCUUAAAACAUUUGUUUAUCGUACGUGUCAUGGCCCAUAACUCCUCCAUAUUACUUGUGUUUUGUCCUUUUUAGUUUCACUGAAGAAUAGGUAGAGGUA